AUUGAACGCUGGCGGCAUGCUUUACACAUGCAAGUCGAACGGUAGCAGGCCUUCGGGUGCUGACGAGUGGCGAACGGGUGAGUAAUGCAUCGGAACGUGCCCAGAGGUGGGGGAUAACGCAGCGAAAGCUGUGCUAAUACCGCAUGUGAUCUGAGGAUGAAAGCGGGGGACCAAGCAGCAAUGUUUGGCCUCGCGCCUCUGGAGCGGCCGAUGUCAGAUUAGGUAGUUGGUGGGGUAAAGGCCUACCAAGCCGACGAUCUGUAGCUGGUCUGAGAGGACGACCAGCCACACUGGGACUGAGACACGGCCCAGACUCCUACGGGAGGCAGCAGUGGGGAAUUUUGGACAAUGGGCGCAAGCCUGAUCCAGCAAUGCCGCGUGCGAGAAGAAGGCCUUCGGGUUGUAAACCGCUUUUGUACGGAACGAAAAGGCUCUGGCUAAUACCUGGGGCUGAUGACGGUACCGGAAGAAUAAGCACCGGCUAACUACGUG
rnacentral:rRNA from 1 species